GACGAACGCUGGCGGCGUGCUUAACACAUGCAAGUCGAACGGUGAAGCGCCUUCCUUUUUGGUGGGUGUGGAUGAGUGGCGAACGUGUGAGUAACACGUGAGUAACCUGCCCCCUUCUUCUGGAUAACCGCAUGAAAGUGUGGCUAAUACGGGAUAUUCUGGGUCUGUCGCAUGAUGGGUCUGGGAAAGAUAUUGUUUCGGUGGGGGAUGGGCUCGCGGCCUAUCAGCUUGUUGGUGGGGUGAUGGCCUACCAAGGCGGUGACGGGUAGCCGGCCUGAGAGGGUGGACGGUCACACUGGGACUGAGACACGGCCCAGACUCCUACGGGAGGCAGCAGUGGGGAAUAUUGCACAAUGGGCGCAAGCCUGAUGCAGCGACGCCGCGUGAGGGAUGGAGGCCUUCGGGUUGUGAACCUCUUUCGCCAGUGAAGCAGGCCUGCCUCGUUUGUGGGUGGGUUGACGGUAGCUGGAUAAGAAGCGCCGGCUAACUACGUG
rnacentral:rRNA from 1 species